CAGUACUGUAGUUUAAUACAUAGAAUACGGGUUUUGGGGAUUCGAGGUCUUUUUAUAAGCUUACUGA
rnacentral:tRNA from 1 species